rnacentral:rRNA from 1 species
UACGUAGGGGGCGAGCGUUGUCCGAAGUUACUGGGCGUAAAGCGCGUGUAGGCGGGUCUUUAAGUGAGGGGUGAAAGGGUUGGGUUUAACCCAGACACUGCCUUUCAUACUGGAGACCUUGAGUGCGGGAGAGGCGAGUGGAAUGGUCGGUGUAGCGGUGAAAUGCGUAGAUAUCGAUCGGAACACCCAUGGCGAAGGCAGCUCGCUGGCCUGUAACUGACGCUGAGACGCGAAAGCGUGGGGAGCAAACAGG